AUCCAUCUGACGAGUCCCAGAUAGAAGGAAACGCGCAUCAAACUGGAU
rfam:Schistosoma mansoni strain Puerto Rico chromosome W, complete genome